UACGUAGGGUGCGAGCGUUAAUCGGAAUUACUGGGCGUAAAGCGUGCGCAGGCGGUUUUGUAAGCCAGAUGUGAAAUCCCCGGGCUUAACCUGGGAAUGGCAUUUGGGACUGCAAGGCUUGAGUGCGGCAGAGGAGACUGGAAUUCCUGGUGUAGCAGUGAAAUGCGUAGAUAUCAGGAGGAAUACCGAUGGCGAAGGCAGGUCUCUGGGCUGACACUGACGCUCAUGCACGAAAGCGUGGGGAGCAUACAGG
rnacentral:rRNA from 1 species